CGUCACUGGGAAGGCAGGUCUGGGUCAGCUAGGGAGAAUAGGCUUCCCAGAAGUGCGGUUCACAUUUCUCUGCCUCAGGCCAGAGGCUGCUCUGUAAUCAUUCACCAGCCUGGCCCUGACGGAGAACAGCAGAAGCGUGAGCAAGCUUAAAUGCUGCAAGACACCCAAAUUUAGACAUGGGUUAAGAGUUUGGCUAAACGCAGGAGGUGGAAGGUGGCCAGGGCCUGGGGGAAGGGAAAGACUGCAUUCUCCACUGCCUGACAAUGACAUCCUGGGGUUAUGCAUCCCAGCCAGCCUGCUUCUCAGGUUGAGAGCACAGACAACACACUUCCUUUCUGGACAGUGAGCUCUGGGAUCCAGGAAAGGGGAACAUACCCAGAAGAGCCAGGCAGCAGCUAACAGGAGGACUAUGGAUGCCCUCCCCCCACAGUGAGGUUGAGGAAAGAUCCAGACAGGUCCCUGGGGCCGGUAACUACCAGCUGUGCUUCUGUGCAGGCUGCUUUCCAGGCUGCCCACCCUGGGUCUCUGUCCAAAGAUGCACCAAGUCCUACACUGGGCACUGUGUGCUCCCAACACACCUACGUGUGCCAUGCUUGCCUCAAGCCUUCAGAUGUCCCAGGGACUCCAGAGUGUGCACACGCUUGUGAGCCCAUGUGCAUACUUGAUGACUGGUGACACCAAAAAGGGAUUUUCACUGGAUGGCCAGGGGCAGACUGAUGCUCUAAUCUCCUGGGUCAGGGUGCCUGGCAGGGUCUCCCCGGCGGUCCUACCUGCAAACACCGCGGAGCAGUAGGCAUCGCUGAUGUCGGAGUCCGGGGUGUGGAC